rnacentral:SRP_RNA from 1 species
GGGCAGAGGAGCAGGUGAAGGCCGCGUCGGCGAAGACGCGCCCUAGGCCGGCAGAAGAGCACGCCAAGGCAGCGCAGCCAAAAUCUCGACCUCGGUUGGGGGACGGCGCU